rnacentral:rRNA from 1 species
AAUGCAUGUUGGCGGCGUGGAUUAGGCAUGCAAGUCGCGCGAGAAGCCCGCAAGGGUGGAAAGCGGCGAAAGGGCGAGUAACGCAUGGAUAUCUGCCCUCAGGAUCGGAAUAGCCGCAGGAAACUGCGGGUAAUGCCGGAUAAUGUCUCUGGACCAAAGGCGUGGGUCCGCCUGAGGAUGAGUCCGCGUCCUAUUAGCUUGUUGGUGGGGUAAUGGCCUACCAAGGGGAUGUUGGGUACUGGGUGUGAGAGCACGACCCAGCUCACUGGGUCUAAGACACUGCCCAGAAACCUACGGGUGGCUGCAGUCGAGAAUCUUCGGCAAUGGGCGCAAGCCUGACCGAGCGACGCCGCGUGCGGGAUGAAGGCCCUCGGGUUGUAAACCGCUGUCGGAGGGGAUGAAAUGCGUGGGGGUACUCCCCCAUGUUUGACAUAUCCUCGGAGGAAGUACGGGCUAAGUUCGUGCCAGCAGCCGCCGUAAGAC